AUUGAACGCUGGCGGCAUGCCUUACACAUGCAAGUCGAACGGCAGCACGGGAGCAAUCCUGGUGGCGAGUGGCGAACGGGUGAGUAAUAUAUCGGAACGUGCCCAGUAGUGGGGGAUAGCCCGGCGAAAGCCGGAUUAAUACCGCAUACGACCUGAGGGUGAAAGCGGGGGAUCGCAAGACCUCGCGCUAUUGGAGCGGCCGAUAUCAGAUUAGCUAGUUGGUGGGGUAAAGGCCUACCAAGGCUACGAUCUGUAGUUGGUCUGAGAGGACGACCAGCCACACUGGGACUGAGACACGGCCCAGACUCCUACGGGAGGCAGCAGUGGGGAAUUUUGGACAAUGGGCGCAAGCCUGAUCCAGCAAUGCCGCGUGCAGGAAGAAGGCCUCGGUUGUAACGUAGUCUUUGUUCUAGGGAAGAAAGUACUUC
rnacentral:rRNA from 1 species